rnacentral:rRNA from 1 species
AGUCAACAUGCCCAGGGGACGUGGAUAACCUCGGGAAACUGAGGAUAAACCGCGAUAGGUCAUCACUUCUGGAAUGGGUAAUGACUUAAACCUAUAUGGCCCCUGGAUUGGACUGCGGCCGAUCAGGCUGUUGGUGAGGUAAUGGCCCACCAAACCUGUAACCGGUACGGGCUCUGAGAGGAGGAGCCCGGAGAUGGGCACUGAGACAAGGGCCCAGGCCCUAUGGGGCGCAGCAGGCGCGAAACCUCUGCAAUAGGCGAAAGCUUGACAGGGUUACUCUGAGUGAUUUCCGUUAAGGAGAUCUUUUGGCACCUCUAAAAAUGGUGCAGAAUAAGGGGUGGGCAAGUCUGGUGUCAGCCGCCGCGGUAAUACCAGCACCCCGAGUGGUCGGGACGUUUAUUGGGCCUAAAGCAUCCGUAGCCGGUUCUACAAGUCUUCCGUUAAAUCCACCUGCUUAACAGAUGGGCUGCGGAAGAUACUAUAGAGCUAGGAGGCGGGAGAGGCAAGCGGUACUCGAUGGGUAGGGGUAAAAUCCGUUGAUCCAUUGAAGACCACCAGUGGCGAAGGCGGCUUGCCAGAACGCGCUCGACGGUGAGGGAUGAAAGCUGGGGGAGCAAACCGGAUUAGAUACCCGGGUAGUCCCAGCUGUAAACGAUGCAGACUCGGUGAUGAAUUGGCUUAUUGCUAAUUCAGUGCCGCAGGGAAGCCGUUAAGUUUGCCGCCUGGGGAGUACGGUCGCAAGACUGAAACUUAA